CCCUCUGACUUCCAUAUUUUUCCAGUCUUCUAAUAUUUCACUCCUUCCCUUCUGGGUAUUCCAUGAUCCAGUAACACUGGCCUUCUUCCUCCUCCUCACACAAGACAUCCAUCUCCAGACUCCAGGCCUUUGCAAUAGGCAUGCCCCAUGCCUGGAAUGCUCUCCCUCCUCCCCCUUUUCUCAGGGCUUCCCUGGAUUCCUUAGAGCCUCCUCUCAAUCCCACCUUCAGCAGGAAGCAUUUCCUGGUCCUCCCCCACAUGCACAUACACCUCCUUCCCUCUGAGAUGACCUUCCUCAGCCCUUGUGUCUAAUUCUUUUCAUGUGAUCUUCCCCAUCAGGCUACAAGCUCCUUGCGGAUCCAGUUUUUUACUUUCUUGCCAUCCCCAGUAUUCUGGCCCAUAGCAAGCAUUCAAUAAACACUGAUUGACUGACAUCAAAAUGGAUUGGAGUCAAGAAGUGAGAGAGAGGGAAGCCUCGCAGCGUGUCCUAACACCUGACAUUGGAGGUCAGCGAGAGCCUGCAUUCCCUACAAUGCGUCAUUUCCUGGACCCCAGAGAGAAAGUGCAGCCUCCAAGCCUAUCCGGAAAUCUUCCUGGCCUGGGAGGCCGACUGCUGACUGAUCUCAGCUUCCAUCCACAAGACAGGAAUGUUGGAGAGCCAGAAAAGGCAGGUGGUGAUGGCACGAGUCCCAGAGUCGUCCAGGAACCCGAGGGACGUGGAAGUGGGGUUCGGAGGGGCUCCAGGAAAGGACCCCAGAGGCGCAAAAUGGGAGGAAACCCCAGGAUUGUCUUGUUGGCCCCCCAUCGAUGGAGAGGAAUCCCCUCGGCAUUCUCAACAAGUCUUCCUCUAGCCUCUGUCGGAAACCGUCCAGUGAUGAGGGAGUCACGGCCCCCCCAAUGCCGUCCAUCCCUCUUUGAAGUGGCUCUGCCGGUCAAUCGGCCAAGAUCGCGCUUCCUUUUCUUUGUCGUCUUUUGCUUUCUUUUUAUUGAUUCGUUUUUCGAGAUUUGCCUUUCUGUUAUUUCGG
rnacentral:lncRNA from 1 species